UACGUAGGGGGCUAGCGUUGUCCGGAAUCAUUGGGCGUAAAGCGCGCGUAGGCGGCCUUGUAAGUCCGUUGUGAAAGUCAAAGGCUCAACCUUUGAAAGCCGAUGGAUACUGCAAGGCUGGAGUCCGGAAGAGGCGAGUGGAAUUCCGUGGUGUAGCGGUGGAAUGCGCAGAGUAUCAGGAGGAACACCCAAUAGCGAAGGCAGCUCGCUGGGACGGUAACUGACGCUAAGGGCGCGAAAGCGUGGG
rnacentral:rRNA from 1 species